rnacentral:sRNA from 1 species
GCCAUUCUCCUGCCUCAGCCUCCCGAGUAGCUGGAACUACAGACGCCCGCCACCGCGCCCCGCUAAUUUUUUGUAUUUUUAGUACAGACGGGGUUUCACCGUGUUAGCCAGGAUGGUCUGGAUCUCCUGACCUUGUGAUCCGCCCGCCUCGUCCUCCCAAAGUGCUGGGAUUACAGGCGUGAGCCACGGCGCUCGGCCGAGAAACCUGAACUUUCUAUGCGCUCAUUGUCCGCACCACGUUCUGCUCUGCAGGUCCCGGAGCUGAGGGCCCCUAAGCAUCACCUUGUGUUGUAGACUGUGUCGUGCUCAAGGCUGCCAUCUCCCUCCUAGAUUUCCAUCGUUGCAUUUACAACUGCUACAAAAAUGCCAGCACUCCAUCGACAUGAAGAAGAGAAGUUCUUCUUAAAUGCCAAAGGCCAGAAAGAAACUUUGCCCAGCAUAUGGGACUCACCUACCAAACAACUUUCUGUCGUUGUGCCUUCAUACAAUGAAGAAAAACGGUAAACGAGAUCCUGCGUUCACUUAUGAAGUGAUAGUAGUUGAUGAUGGCAGUAAAGAUCAGACCUCAAAGGUAGCUUUUAAAUAUUGCCAGAAAUAUGGAAGUGACAAAGUACGUGUGAUAACCCUGGUGAAGAAUCGUGGAAAAGGUGGAGCGAUUAGAAUGGGUAUAUUCAGUUCUCGAGGAGAAAAGAUCCUUAUGGCAGAUGCUGAUGGAGCCACAAAGUUUCCAGAUGUUGAGAAAUUAGAAAAGGGACU